GGGGUCCGCGGUUUCUUCCUCCCACAGCGGAGGGGAUGUGAACACCUGCUUCGUGGAGCUCCUGAUUAUGGUGUACACAUGGAAGACCUCUUGUGCCAAGAGCAUCAUCGGCGUGAUUCCCUGCUUUCCUUACAGCAAAUGGUGCAAACUGAGGAAGAGGCUCAGUCAUCUCUAAAUUAUUUGAUUCCAUGAUAUACAAAGCUGAUGGACACAACACAAUGCCUUUAUUUUUAUGUGG